rnacentral:sRNA from 1 species
UCUCAGACAGGAAAAUUGAAGGAGCAAUGAGCCUCAGACUAAUUAAAGAAUUCAUUUCAGUGGUACAUCA